UACAUGUGGGGCAAGCGUUGUUCGGAAUUACUGGGCAUAAAGGGUGCGUAGGCGGUUUGUUAAGUCACUGGUGAAAGUUUUCGGCCCAACCGGAAAAUUGCCUGUGAUACUGGCGAACUUGAGUGCGUGAGGGGUGGGGGGAACGAGCAGUGUAGCGGUGAAAUGCGUAGAUAUCUGGAGGAACACCGGUGGCGAAGGCGGCGUUCUGGACUGCAACUGACACUGAGGAACGAAAGCCAGGGGAGCAAACGGG
rnacentral:rRNA from 1 species